ensembl:lncRNA
AUGGACGGUGGACAAGCCUGGUGGGCUACAGUCCACGGGGUCNNNNCAAAGAGUCGGACACGACUGAGCGACUUCACUUUCUCUUCUUUCUUUUCUCUUCACAACCCCUUUAGGGCCCCCGAAGGGAUGCAGCAAGGCUGGUCGCCCUGGACUCUUCCGUUCCUCCCGUCUUCCAAGGAGAGGAGAAGAUGCCGUGGGCACAUUCCCGGCGUGGCCCACAGGCGUGGCCGCGACUCUGAUGUGGCUGGAAGCAAGAUCCAAUGCCUGAGGGUCCCUCGAUGGGCCCUCCUCUGCGAAACCGGCAUACCAUCCCAGCUCACUGUUGGGGUGCAGGGUGGAGGGGGACCCCCCGCGAGCAUCCAGCCCCUCUCCCCAUCACCCGUCUUGCGAAGCCAUCGCGAGGCGGUCAGGACCCACGAGCCGGUGUCAACCUUCCCCAGGGGCGGGGGGCGGCGGGGGGUCCACGCUGGCACCUACAACCUCCAUCCACCCCCCCAGGGGUGCGGGCGUUCCCAUCCCAGCCCCGCCUGCCUGGCCCCCGUGCCUCGCGAGUUUCCGUCCGCCUCGCCCUCGUGCGCAGUGAGAGCUCGCGGGGCGGGGACCCUGUCGCCCAGCGCGGCCGCCCACGGGAAGGCUCUCGGCUUAUUCCCGGCUUGACGCGUCCGGAGGCCAAGCAGCUUCAGAUCGCACCAUCACCGUGAAGGCAGGCGCCGCUGCGGUCCGACCCUCUUCACGUCUCAGAUGCCGCCCGGUUUGUCUCGACAUUCGCGCCCGCGCGCCCGGAGCUCUUUGCCUUCCUUCCCGUCUGUGCAGGAGAAAGACGCCCAAGGGAUCCCAGCUGCUCUCCUUGCAGACAGUCCCCACUCCGAGGGGUUUUUAACCCGUCUGCCGCGAGAAGACACCCGGAUGGGGAAGAGAAGAAAAUGCUGGGGACUUUGCCCCCGGGACAAGAGGGUUCUGGGACCUCCCCCCAAACGCACCCUGUAGCGUCGGCUCUCUCUGGGACUCUCAAGGAGGCCUCAAGGAUCUUUCCACGUUGCACCGUGGAUAAGACUUGUGGGAGCCCUUCCAGGCAGCCACGGAGGACUCUGGAGCGUUUAUUGUUAUUAUUAUUUUAUUUUCCCCUGUCUGCUCUGUUUAAACCGGGAGGGAUCCAGGUUGACGGUGGAGGUGGGCCCCCCGCCCUGCGGGGUGCGUGCGUGUGUCCGUGAAUGUCCCCGCCGAUGCCCACCCCCAGCCCCCGCUGACCCGUUUCUCAAGCCGCUGAUGAGCGUUUUCUACGUCUUACCCCUUCCCGCCCCCUCAAGCGCUCCGUCUUUCUGUCCCGCGGGUGUGGUCUGUGGCGCCUCCGUGUUAUCUCGUCUCGUGGCUUCUGCCUCCCCCCUGCGUGGAGACGGGCAAUAAAGAGAAAAGCUAUUCCAGACAUUAUGGCUAUUCCAGAAAAUAAAAUAUUUUUGAAACCGCACAUCAGGGCUACCCCGCUCCUUUGUCUCGUGGUGGGCUAGUGGGCUGCUAACCCUUGGAAGAUGCAUGGAGAAUUCAUUUAUUCUGUAGACAAUCAAGGGAAGGUGUUUCUUUUUUCUUUUUUUUCCCCAAACUUUAACUUUUUCAUCUUGUAUUAGGGUUGUUGUUGUUCGGUCGCUCAAUCGUGUCCAACUCUUUGCAGCCCCAUGGGCCAGGCUUCCGUGUCCAUCACCAACUCGCGGAGCUUGCUCAGACUCACGUCCAUCGAGUCGGUGAUGCCAUCCAACCA